AGAGUUUGAUCCUGGCUCAGGAUGAACGCUGGCGGCGUGCCUAAUACAUGCAAGUCGAGCGAACAGAUAAGGAGCUUGCUCCUUUGAAGUUAGCGGCGGACGGGUGAGUAACACGUGGGUAACCUACCUAUAAGACUGGGAUAACUUCGGGAAACCGGAGCUAAUACCGGAUAACAUUUAGAACCGCAUGGUUCUAAAGUGAAAGAUGGUUUUGCUAUCACUUAUAGAUGGACCCGCGCCGUAUUAGCUAGUUGGUAAGGUAACGGCUUACCAAGGCGACGAUACGUAGCCGACCUGAGAGGGUGAUCGGCCACACUGGAACUGAGACACGGUCCAGACUCCUACGGGAGGCAGCAGUAGGGAAUCUUCCGCAAUGGGCGAAAGCCUGACGGAGCAACGCCGCGUGAGUGAUGAAGGGUUUCGGCUCGUAAAACUCUGUUAUUAGGGAAGAACAAAUGUGUAAGUAACUGUGCACAUCUUGACGGUACCUAAUCAGAAGGCCACGGCUAACUACGUG
rnacentral:rRNA from 1 species